rnacentral:rRNA from 1 species
AUUGAACGCUGGCGGCAGGCUUAACACAUGCAAGUCGAACGAGUGGCGGACGGGUGAGUAAGGCAUGGGAAUGUGGAUGAUGGAGGGGGAUAACGACGGGAAACUGUAGCUAAUACCGCGUGGCCUAGGAUGAGCCCAAGUGGGAUUAGGUAGUGGGUGGGGUAAAGGCCUACCAAGCCGACGAUUUCUAGCUGGUCUGAGAGGAUGACCAGUCACACCGGGACUGAGACACGGCCCGGACUCCUACGGGAGGCAGCAGUGGGGAAUAUUGGGCAAUGGGCGCAACCCUGACCCAGCCAUGCCGCGUGAAUGAAGAAGGUCUUCGGGUUGUAAAGUACUUUAGGUGACGAGGCGUUAACCACAGAAGAAGCACCGGCUAACUCCGUGCCAGCCGCCGCGGUAAUUC